rnacentral:tRNA from 1 species
AGGAUUAUAAUUUAAAUUAAAAAAAUUUUUAAUUUGCAAUUAAAAAAUAUUGAAUCUAUCAAUUUAUCUUA